AAGUCCUCCAAGAGCAUCUAACAACCCUGAGUGGUUAUGUAUGAUACGUUGGAAAAAUCAGACUAGCUCUCUGCUGCCACCUGGUGUUUAAUGUAUGACAACAGUUUGUGACAGAACUGCUGGCCCAUGUUGACUCCAAUCCUUCCCACAGUUGUGUCAAUUGGCUGGAUUCCUUUGGGGGGGGGGGGUCCAUUCUCUGAUACAAACAGGAAACUGUUGAGCGUGAAAAACUAGCGACGUUGCAGUUUUUGACACAAAACCGGUGCGCCUGGCAUCUACUACCAUUCUCUGUUCAAAGACACUUACAUCUUUUGUCUUGUCCAUUCACCCUCUGAAUGGCACACAUACACAAUCCAUGUCUCAAUUAUCUCAAGGCUUUAAAAAUCCUUCUUUACCCCGCCAUGUGGACCCUCCAUGCCCAGGGACUUGACCAGACACCCCGAUGAUGGCUGAAACUGGUCAAAGGUGUGCUUCCCAUUAUACCUGCCGUUCCACUCUGACCUAUGGGGUUCAGAGGUCACAGGGCUAGGGUCAGAUGAGGGGUCAAAGGGUCAUGUGACUCGUUGUUAAGGAUUAUGUUUAUAAUAUUAUAAUAUGAUAUUAUGUUAGCUGCAUGAUGGUCUGCAUGAUGGUCUAGCAGCACUUCUCCAAGGUCACGCAACCUUUCAACUCAGUCCCAGAGACACGCUACCCUUCAACUCAGUCCCAAAGACACGCUACCCUUCAACUCAGUCCAAAGACAAGCUACCCUCCAACUCAGCCAGAACACGCUACCCUUCAACUCAGCCAAAGACACGCUACCCUUCAACUCAGUCCCAAAGACACGCUACCCUUCAACUCAGUCCCAAAGACACGCUACUCUUCAACUCAGUCCCAAAGACAAGCUACCCUCCAACUCAGUCCCAGAGACACGCUACCCUUCAACUCAGUCCCAAAGACACGCUACCCUCCAACUCCAGUCCAGAGACACGCUACCCUUCAACUCAGUCCCAAAGACACGCUACCCUUCAACUCAGUCCCAAAGACACGCUACCCUUCAACUCAGUCCCAAGGUCACGCUACUCAACCCUCCAACUCAGUCCCAAAGACACGCUACCCUCCAACUCCAGUCCCAAAGACACGCUACCCUUCAACUCAGUCCAAAACACGCUACCCUCCAACUCAGUCCCAAAGACCACGUAACCUCCAACUCAGUCCCAGAGGACUCGCUACUCAACCUCCAACUCCAGUCCAAAGACAUGCUACCCCCCCAACCUCAGUCCCAAAGACACGCUACCCUUCAACUCAGUCCCAAGAACACGCUACCCUUCAACUCAGUCCAAAACACGCUACCCUCAACUCAAUCCCGAAACGGUUCACCUACCUUCAACUCAGUCCCAAGGACACGCUACCCUCCAGCUCAGUCCCAAGGACACGCUACCCUCCAACUCAGUCCCAAGGACACGCUACCCUCCAACUCAGUCCCAAGGAAAAGCCUAGCAACGUUGCAGUUCUUGACACAAACCGGUGCGCUGGGCAUCUACUACCAUUCUCUGCUCAAAGACACUUAAAUCUUUUGUCUUGCCCAUUCCGCCCUCUGAAUGGCACCCAGACACAAUCCAUGUCUCAAUUAUCUCAAGGCUUAAAAAUCCUUCUUCAACCAGGUCUCCUCCCCUUCAUCUACACUGAUUUGAAGUGGAUUUAA
ensembl:lncRNA